rnacentral:rRNA from 1 species
UGCGUAGGCGGUGUUCUAAGUCGGAUGUGAAAACUCUGGGCUCAACCCAGAGCCUGCAUCUGAAACUGGAGUGCUAGAGUUCUGGAGGGGGUAGCGGAAUUCCUGGUGUAGCGGCGAAAUGCGUAGAUAUCAGGAGGAACACCGGUGGCGAAGGCGGCUACCUGGACAGAAACUGACGCUGAGGCACGAAAGUUAGGGGAGCAAACAGGAUUAGAUACCCUGGUAGUCCUAGCCCUAAACGAUGGAUACUUGCUGUGACGGGGAUUGAAUCCCGUCGUGGCGAAGCUAACGCAUUAAGUAUCCCGCCUGGGGAGUACGGUCGCAAGGCUGAA